GGAAACGUGGUAGAGAGGUCUAAUACACUUCCCUGCUAAGGAAGAGUGUCUAACGGCACCGAAGGUUCGAAUCCUUCCGUUUCCGUCA
rnacentral:tRNA from 1 species